AGCGUACACGGUGGAUGCCUGGGCAGUCAGAGGCGAUGAAGGACGUACUAACUUGCGAUAAGCGCAGAUAAGGCAGUAAGAGCCGUUUGAGUCUGCGAUUUCCGAAUGGGGAAACCCAACUGCAUAAGCAGUUACUGUUAACUGAAUACAUAGGUUAACAGAGCAAACCGGGGGAACUGAAACAUCUAAGUACCCCGAGGAGAAGAAAUCAACCGAGAUUCCGGUAGUAGCGGCGAGCGAACCUGGAUUAGCCCUUAAGCACUCGGUGAAGUAGGUGAACAAGCUGGAAAGCUUGGCGAUACAGGGUGAUAGCCCCGUAACCGACGCUUCAUCGAGCGUGAAAUCGAGUAGGGCGGGACACGUGAUAUCCUGUCUGAAUAUGGGGGGACCAUCCUCCAAGGCUAAAUACUCCUGACUGACCGAUAGUGAACCAGUACCGUGAGGGAAAGGCGAAAAGAACCCCUGUGAGGGGAGUGAAAUAGAACCUGAAACCGUGUACGUACAAGCAGUAGGAGCACCUUCGUGGUGUGACUGCGUACCUUUUGUAUAAUGGGUCAGCGACUUAUAUUCAGUGGCAAGGUUAACCGUAUAGGGGAGCCGUAGCGAAAGCGAGUCUUAACUGGGCGCUCAGUCUCUGGAUAUAGACCCGAAACCGGGUGAUCUAGCCAUGGGCAGGUUGAAGGUUGAGUAACAUCAACUGGAGGACCGAACCGACUAAUGUUGAAAAAUUAGCGGAUGACUUGUGGCUAGGGGUGAAAGGCCAAUCAAACUCGGAGAUAGCUGGUUCUCCCCGAAAGCUAUUUAGGUAGCGCCUCGGACGAAUACUACUGGGGGUAGAGCACUGUUAAGGCUAGGGGGUCAUCCCGACUUACCAACCCUUUGCAAACUCCGAAUACCAGUAAGUACUAUCCGGGAGACACACGGCGGGUGCUAACGUCCGUCGUGGAGAGGGAAACAACCCAGACCGCCAGCUAAGGUCCCAAAGUAUUGCUAAGUGGGAAACGAUGUGGGAAGGCUCAGACAGCUAGGAUGUUGGCUUAGAAGCAGCCAUCAUUUAAAGAAAGCGUAAUAGCUCACUAGUCGAGUCGGCCUGCGCGGAAGAUGUAACGGGGCUAAGCAAUACACCGAAGCUGCGGCAAUGUCUUUUAGACAUUGGGUAGGGGAGCGUUCUGUAAGCCGUUGAAGGUGAAUCGUAAGGUUUGCUGGAGGUAUCAGAAGUGCGAAUGCUGACAUGAGUAACGACAAAGGGGGUGAAAAACCUCCUCGCCGGAAGACCAAGGGUUCCUGUCCAACGUUAAUCGGGGCAGGGUGAGUCGACCCCUAAGGUGAGGCCGAAAGGCGUAAUCGAUGGGAAACGGGUUAAUAUUCCCGUACUUCUGACUAUUGCGAUGGGGGGACGGAGAAGGCUAGGUGGGCCAGGCGACGGUUGUCCUGGUUCAAGUGCGUAGGCUUGAGAGUUAGGUAAAUCCGGCUCUCUCUAAGGCUGAGACACGACGUCGAGCUACUACGGUAGUGAAGUCAUUGAUGCCAUGCUUCCAGGAAAAGCCUCUAAGCUUCAGAUAGUCAGGAAUCGUACCCCAAACCGACACAGGUGGUCGGGUAGAGAAUACCAAGGCGCUUGAGAGAACUCGGGUGAAGGAACUAGGCAAAAUGGUACCGUAACUUCGGGAGAAGGUACGCUCUUGAUGGUGAAGUCCCUCGCGGAUGGAGCUGACGAGAGUCGCAGAUACCAGGUGGCUGCAACUGUUUAUUAAAAACACAGCACUGUGCAAAAUCGCAAGAUGACGUAUACGGUGUGACGCCUGCCCGGUGCCGGAAGGUUAAUUGAUGGGGUUAGCGCAAGCGAAGCUCUUGAUCGAAGCCCCGGUAAACGGCGGCCGUAACUAUAACGGUCCUAAGGUAGCGAAAUUCCUUGUCGGGUAAGUUCCGACCUGCACGAAUGGCGUAAUGAUGGCCACGCUGUCUCCACCCGAGACUCAGUGAAAUUGAAAUCGCUGUGAAGAUGCAGUGUACCCGCGGCUAGACGGAAAGACCCCGUGAACCUUUACUACAGCUUGGCACUGAACAUUGAACCUACAUGUGUAGGAUAGGUGGGAGGCUAUGAAGACGUGACGCCAGUUGCGUUGGAGCCGUCCUUGAAAUACCACCCUUGUAUGUUUGAUGUUCUAACUUAGACCCAUUAUCUGGGUUGAGGACAGUGCCUGGUGGGUAGUUUGACUGGGGCGGUCUCCUCCCAAAGAGUAACGGAGGAGCACGAAGGUGGGCUAAUCACGGUUGGACAUCGUGAGGUUAGUGCAAUGGCAUAAGCCCGCUUAACUGCGAGAAUGACGGUUCGAGCAGGUGCGAAAGCAGGUCAUAGUGAUCCGGUGGUUCUGUAUGGAAGGGCCAUCGCUCAACGGAUAAAAGGUACUCCGGGGAUAACAGGCUGAUACCGCCCAAGAGUUCAUAUCGACGGCGGUGUUUGGCACCUCGAUGUCGGCUCAUCACAUCCUGGGGCUGAAGUCGGUCCCAAGGGUAUGGCUGUUCGCCAUUUAAAGUGGUACGCGAGCUGGGUUUAGAACGUCGUGAGACAGUUCGGUCCCUAUCUGCCGUGGGCGUUGGAAGAUUGAAGGGGGCUGCUCCUAGUACGAGAGGACCGGAGUGGACGAACCUCUGGUGUUCGGGUUGUGUCGCCAGACGCAUUGC
rnacentral:rRNA from 1 species